rnacentral:misc_RNA from 1 species
AAGUCGUAACAAGGUUUCCGUAGGUGAACCUGCGGAAGGAUCAUUAACACGUUGGAUAUGCUGGUAAAGUGCCAUCGUACGUAGCAAUCCCUGGUAAAUCAUCGCCGAACAGUUUUGAUUCAGGGACCUCUAUAGUCCGAAAGAGUCAUACCAUUAUAGCAUAUCGCAAUGGAUCUGGCAUUCCUCUGCUUGUUAGUGUCUGAAAGUGUCACUAGCUCUGUACGUCCCUGGGUGAAAGCCCCCUAUAGUCACCUCCAUUGCACGAUUAACGCGGUGUGCGAUUCGUAAAAAACCCUCCAUAAAAUGCUUAGAACAACUGUUAACAAUGGAUAUCUUGGUUCUC